GAAACAUCGAUUGGUUGCCUCCUGUACACACCCUGACUGAAGAUUGAACCCGCCUCAACCUAGGUUCUGGAGGUGAAGGAGUAAAAUAAGAAGCUCCUGUUCUUCACAGCACAUAUGUUCCAUUUGGGAGAGACAGGAACAAAUAAAUAUACAACUGCCAAAUAGUAAUAAUUGCUCUGAAGAAAACAAAAUGUGAGGGUUUCAAAGUGAUUAUCUGAAUAACAGCUGAUAAACAUGAAGACUCAGUAACAAUCUGAGAGGAAGAGAAAUAAUGGAAAGACCGUAUUUUAGAGCUCAGAGGAGAAGCAAACAUGAUGUUUUCCUUUAUUGCUCCAAGUCAAGUACAAGACGAAUAGGCACAAGAAGAAACUUGAGGAGAAAACCAAAUACCAAAAAAAGUACAUUAUUUUUCCUGUUGCUUUUUCAAUAAUUCCCGAACAAAUCCACAUAACAUCCCUGCAGUCCAGUAGAAGAACCUCAUGAAAUGGAC